UUCCAGCGCCACGCCGCGGGAUCUGAUGGAUUUAUUAUAAAUUAGUAUUCAUCGCUCAACCCGACAAAAGAUCUUUUGGACGUGGAAAUUAAACUCGAUGUACAUAAGUGAAAAAAAAAAAACUCAUUACCCCAAAUUAAAUAUUGUUGGUGGUUAGGCUGAUUUUUCUCAGUGUAAUAAAAGCUUUACCUGAAAGAUUUUUAUCUCCCAUACGGUAAAAUCGAACCACGCGGUUCCAAUUAAAUACCGAACAACGGUACACUGAAAGAAAAGAAAGAAAAAAUAAAAACGAAAAUCUUUCUGGCACGUGCUGGCUAUAUAUAUAUUUUCCUUUUUUUUAUUCCCAAUAUUUAAUAAUGGCCUUCCGCAAUGACAACAAAGAAAAAUGAAUUACAUUUCUUUUCUUAAAUUAAUUAAGAAAUAUUUAAUAAAAAUUAAUGGAAUCUUGGAACAUUAUUUUUAAUACUCUUGCCGUGUUCCAACUUAAAAAAAAAAAAAAAAACCCUUGCUAAAGUUAUUCAUAAACCCUUGCUAUCAAAUUUGAAUUGGAAAUGAAUAAGUUACUAUGGAGACAUUUUACGAUAUACAUUUAGGAAAUAAUAUUAGAGAAUACCCGCUAUGGAAGACAAGAUUCUCUUCAUAAACAUGAUUCUUGUUAUUAAUUUUAUAUAGACAUAUAUAAUAUUAUUGCCUAUUAAUGCGACUUAUUAUUUCUUAUACCAACUUAUAAAGAUAUAAAUUCUAAGAUAAUUU